GUCUCUCGGACGACCCACUCCUCCUCCCUAGGGGCGUCCGAUGGAACGGUGGCACUCCUCCUCCCAGCCGCUGUUCACUCUUUUAAAAAGCCUGCCGCACCUCCUCCCGCGGCAGGCUUUUUUG
rnacentral:sRNA from 17 species